rnacentral:rRNA from 1 species
AGAGUUUGAUCCUGGCUCAGGAUGAACGCUGGCGGUGUGCCUAAUACAUGCAAGUCGAGCGAACGGACGAGAAGCUUGCUUCUCUGAUGUUAGCGGCGGACGGGUGAGUAACACGUGGAUAACCUACCUAUAAGACUGGGAUAACUUCGGGAAACCGGAGCUAAUACCGGAUAAUAUUUUGAACUGCAUGGUUCAAAAGUGAAAGACGGUCUUGCUGUCACUUAUAGAUGGAUCCGCGCUGCAUUAGCUAGUUGGUAAGGUAACGGCUUACCAAGGCAACGAUGCAUAGCCGACCUGAGAGGGUGAUCGGCCACACUGGAACUGAGACACGGUCCAGACUCCUACGGGAGGCAGCAGUAGGGAAUCUUCCGCAAUGGGCGAAAGCCUGACGGAGCAACGCCGCGUGAGUGAUGAAGGUCUUCGGAUCGUAAAACUCUGUUAUUAGGGAAGAACAUAUGUGUAAGUAACUGUGCACAUCUUGACGGUACCUAAUCAGAAAGCCACGGCUAACUACGUGCCAGCAGCCGCGGUAAUACGUAGGUGGCAAGCGUUAUCCGGAAUUAUUGGGCGUAAAGCGCGCGUAGGCGGUUUUUUAAGUCUGAUGUGAAAGCCCACGGCUCAACCGUGGAGGGUCAUUGGAAACUGGAAAACUUGAGUGCAGAAGAGGAAAGUGGAAUUCCAUGUGUAGCGGUGAAAUGCGCAGAGAUAUGGAGGAACACCAGUGGCGAAGGCGACUUUCUGGUCUGUAACUGACGCUGAUGUGCGAAAGCGUGGGGAUCAAACAGGAUUAGAUACCCUGGUAGUCCACGCCGUAAACGAUGAGUGCUAAGUGUUAGGGGGUUUCCGCCCCUUAGUGCUGCAGCUAACGCAUUAAGCACUCCGCCUGGGGAGUACGACCGCAAGGUUGAAACUCAAAGGAAUUGACGGGGACCCGCACAAGCGGUGGAGCAUGUGGUUUAAUUCGAAGCAACGCGAAGAACCUUACCAAAUCUUGACAUCCUUUGACAACUCUAGAGAUAGAGC